UGGGGAAUUUUGCACAAUGGGGGAAACCCUGAUGCAGCGACGCCGCGUGAUUUAGAAGGCCUUCGGGUUGUAAAAAUCUUUUCUAUGGGAAGAAAAUGACAGUACCAUAGGAAUAAGGACCGGCUAAUUACGUGCCAGCAGCCGCGGUAAUACGUAAGGUCCGAGCGUUGUCCGGAAUCAUUGGGCGUAAAGGGUACGUAGGCGGGUAAGCAAGUUAGAAGUGAAAUCCUAUAGCUCAACUAUAGUAAGCUUUUAAAACUGCUCAUCUUGAGGGAUGGAAGGGAAGGUGGAAUUCCUAGUGUAGCGGUGAAAGACGCAGAUAUUAGGAGGAAUACCGGUGGCGAAGGCGACUUUCUGGCCAUAACCUGACGCUGAGGUACGAAAGCGUGGGUAGCAAACAGG
rnacentral:rRNA from 1 species